GUUUACGAAGUUCCUCUCUACAUCGUCUCUCUCUCCUCUCUCUCUCUAAAAAAACCAAAUAUCAGAUCUAAAGCCCUACUGUCAUGUUGCAGCGCCAACCCAUCGAUCUAAAAAACCCACAUAUCUUUGUAUCUCUCUCUACCUCGUGUCUCUCUCUUCCCUCUUCCUUCUUGCACGACCUUCCUCUCUCUUCUUCUCUCACUCAUCUUCUUCCUCAUUGCUCCCAAAAUCAAAAGCAUCUUCCUCAUUGCUCCCAAAAUCAAAAGCAAUGGCAAAGUAUUGAAGAUCAAAAGCGGCUCAAAAACCCCAUAUUGCCAUCAAGAAUAUGUUCAAAAACCCCAAAUGAAGAUUUGCGCAUGAGAUUGGACAUCAUUUUGCUAUUUCAACUGCUAUCAAAGACACUAGUAUUACAACUCAUGAAGAAAUGGAGAAUAUGGAUAUCUUUCAUGUGCGUACUUAGAAAAGUGUAAGGAUCAUUUGUUUUAUCGAUGGAGGAAAUAUACAGAGCAGAAAGAAGCGAUUGAGAAGUAUGAGGGAAUCCUUGAGGACUUUGCACCAGGUUAUUUGAAGUUUGGCUUCAUCAGAGAAGAUGACAGCAUUGUGUAUCGAGAGUGGGCACCAGCAGUGCAGAAAGUGUUUGAAGGCAUUUUUUAGCACCUUGGGUCCCCGAUGAGGAAUAAAGAAGAAGUAGGUAAAUAAAGCCAAGAUUUACAAUGGAAUUCCCGACAGUCUCAGAAUUGCCCCAGAAUGGGUGAAAAUGUUCUUAAGGACUUCAAAAGGUCACCUGUUAAGUUUCGUCGCAAUCCGACAUGUCUAAGGAAGUGCAGACAAAGAAACAGCUUCGAAAAAAUCAGUCUCUCGCACCUUGAAAGGAACCCUAUAACUGGAACCCUAUUAAUAGAGCAUCAGAUGGCUAUGGGACCACUGCCAUUGAAUUCGGUAGGGGUCAAAUUUUGGCUUAAACAGACGUUCCAGGAUAAAUUUAUGGGCAAAAGACUGAAAAAAGGUAGGCCGCACAAUAUUCCCAUGUGCUCUCCCUACACCAGUCUCCAUGGCAAAAGACUGAAAAGGGGUAGGACGCACGCUAUUCCCAUGUGUCCUCCCAACACUAGUCUCCAUUAAUGGAGAUUGGUUUUCAUAAUUUCGGGUAGUGAUUUUCGAGAGUCAUAUCUCUUUAGUUCCAAGUCGGAUCGUGCUCAAAUUCUGCGAGCAUGUUCGUCUCGUCAAGACGAGCGUUUUGAUAUGUGGUAUGGCCUGUGACGAUGCUCAAGCAAAGAGAAAAGCUAGAGAGAAGGUGACAAUUUGCGGCAAAAGUUGUAGGAAAUUUAAUAGCGACGUGUCACACUCGAGCGGCCAUAUCACGACACUCGCGUACCCAAUCGACGUGAAACUAAGGUCCAGGGCUACGUCUGGUCCGACCUUCGCAUGAUGAACAGUCAGAUUUCAUGUGCGAAGCCAGUAAAGUUGUAAAUUCUGGCCGCCAAAAUUCAGAUUCCUGCCAAAACUCUAAAGACUGCAAAAUUUUCGUCCGGGCUACGUUUGUUCCAACGUAAUCGUGACGGCAUGCUCAAUGUAAUUCAACAAAGAAAUCAUGAAAAAACAUCA